rnacentral:tRNA from 1 species
GGCCCGUUCGUCUAUCGGUCAGGACAUCAGGUUUUCAACCUGAAGAGAGGGGUUCAAUUCCCCUACGGGCUACCA